rnacentral:misc_RNA from 1 species
GGCGAAGCCUAACAAUCACGGCACAAAGCCAACCCACCUUCUGUAAAAAUAUACUUCCGUACUUCGGACGUCUAGCCUUUUUCUCCUUUUCUCACCGCCUCCACUUUCCUCAGACUUUACAAAUAUCCCUCUCUCUCUCAUGCACCUUGCCUAACUCAUCAAUGGCGCCUUUUGUUAUACGGUCUCUUGUUAACCUUCCGGGCCAAAUCGCCGUUAAACACUUGCCAACUGAUCAAUUUCCCAGAAUUGAAAUCAAAUUGCCGCUGAUUUUGGUUAAACCGCGACAUAAUACGAUUGUUUUGGCCUCUCUUCAUGGAGAAAACGAGAGAGCAAUCGAGGCUGACGGGAAGAACACUCAGGCUGCUCUUCAAUUGCAGGAUUCUCCUUACGACGUCGUUUCCAGAGAUGCGCUUCCGAGGCCGUUAUCGUCUUCUCAAUCCUCCAGUUCGGUCUCUGAUGGGUCACGUCUUCGCGUUGCUUACCAGGGAGUUCGUGGCGCGUACAGCGAAUCAGCGGCUGAGAAAGCCUAUCCGAAUUGCGAAGCAGUACCGUGUGAGCAAUUUGACGCGGCUUUUGAGGCUGUUGAACGAUGGCUUGUGGACAGAGCAGUGUUGCCCAUUGAGAAUUCCUUAGGUGGGAGCAUCCACAGAAAUUAUGACCUUUUGCUCCGUCAUAGACUGCAUAGGGAAGUGAAAUAUGCUGUUCGCCAUUGCUUACUAGCCAAUCAUGGUGUUAAAGUUGAAGACUUGAAGAGGGUCCUAAGUCAUCCG